UGAGUAACCUGCCCUUAACUCUGGGAUAAGCCUGGGAAACUGGGUCUAAUACCGGAUAUGACUCCUCAUCGCAUGGGUGGGGGGUGGAAAGCUUUAUUGUUGGUUUUGGAUGGACUCGCGGCCUAUCAGCUUGUUGGUGAGGUAAUGGCUCACCAAGGCGACGACGGGUAGCCGGCCUGAGAGGGUGACCGGCCACACUGGGACUGAGACACGGCCCAGACUCCGUACGGGAGGCAG
rnacentral:rRNA from 1 species